rnacentral:lncRNA from 1 species
AGGAACUCAAUCAAGAACGGACAGUAAACAAAUCAUAACAUCUCGACGAACUCGCGGAAUUUGCACGGUAAGACGAUAUAUUCGAUUACACGACUGGGCUCAUGGAGCUACAAGGUAACUAGAGAGAUUCUGCGAUAGACAGAUGGGAGAACAGGUGACAUUGUUCCGGCUACAGCUACUGAACAUAAGACAUGGCAGACUUCUCCCGUCUGCGGCCACAGCGGGGCAGAGUUGCUGACGAAGGGGGGCGCCUAUCCGCCGAAGCCGUAGAGGGUGCGGCCCUGGCGCUUGAGCGCGUAGACGACGUCCAUGGCGGUGACGGUCUUGCGGCGGGCGUGCUCCGUGUAGGUGACGGCGUCGCGGAUGACGUUCUCGAGGAAGAUCUUGAGCACGCCGCGGGUCUCCUCGUAGAUGAGCCCCGAGAUGCGCUUCACGCCGCCCCUCCGAGCGAGGCGCCGGAUCGCCGGCUUGGUGAUGCCCUGGAUGUUGUCGCGGAGCACCUUCCGGUGGCGCUUGGCGCCGCCCUUGCCCAGCCCCUUGCCUCCCUUGCCGCGCCCGGACAUGGUCGCUGACGAACUCGCCUUGGUUCGAGUUGAGAGAGCGGAUGGAGGUCGAGGAGCGGUGGUGGCUUGCGGUGUUGCGAUUUGGGGGGAGCGGGGAGGGGGAUUAAAAGGGGCGGGAGGAAGGCGACGCGUGAGCACGGAAUUGGGGAGGUCGAGACCGCGAUCCGGGUGUGGAUGCCGCGGAUCCGUGACGUGGCGGGAGGCUUGGCGCGGUAGAUUGGCGGGGUGCGCCGCCUGAAAAUUCGUGAGGCGCCAGCUCGAAACCUUUCCGCGCGUUGCCCCGCUGUCUGCCUGUCUGUGCGUUUCCUUAGGUGCGAAUUCAGUUUCGCUCUGCGGUGCUCGUGCGCGACGGCUCGAAAAAUGGAACGGCAACGGAGCGUGUCUAGCAGUGGCUCUUAGCAGCAGAUUGUCGAUGACAUUUUCAGAAAAUCACGGUGAUUAGAUUGGAUCAGUGAAGGAUUUAAUAAAAAUCGUUGGUGUCAAGGGGCUCCAAGUAGAUACAGAGGAUUCAGGCUCUAACCACGGUUCACAAAAAGUGGAUCAUCAUUGGUGCUCUGUUUCUUCCGAGCGAUCAUGAUCUCCGAGAAACACUAGAGUUUAGAGAAGGAAAUGGAUGUGAAGUCACACCCUGAUGACGGAUUAGAAACGAAUAAAUACACACUGUCAGACAUAAUUUAAACUUGUAAAGGGCGUACAUAAAAACACGGAAUUGUCAUUUAUAUGAGAACACGACGACUCUGGUGCUCACUUCACUCUAUAACAGUAACCUGGGCUGUUGUAUUGAGUGCCUUGAAAAGCAUGGUUGCUCUACUCUGUACCGGACUGGGAUACUACGAAUCGGGUAGAUGCAGCACCAGAGCUUUUCACUGGACUUGUCGUUUCUGUUCUGCUUCAGUAAUCUUUCUGCCCAUACUUGAUAGAGAUUUUUCCAUUCUUUUUCAUACCAGUGUACAUGUAUAUUUUUAGCUGGAGAGCCAGUUUUUGGUUGUGCUAGUCUUGCAAAAUGGGAGGGUCUUUUGUCGUCUAAACUCCUUCUGUGUCCGUCCCUUUAGAGCUUUUGCGAUAUUAUGUCGCCUUCUUGUAUCAGGUGUUCAGUUUCAUAAAAGAAACAUCUUGAAUCCAGAGGAAAUGGUGCAAAUAAAUCCAGAGGAAAUGGUGCUCUUGGAUUUAACUAAACGAUAACCUGAUUUGCCCUGCCAAUCUGUUCAUCUGUACUGCGGGUCAAGGAUCGAUGACAGAUCAAACUAAAGAAAAGUAUCUGAAAUGUGCCACGUCGCUACGUAAAAAAAGAGAGGAACGCAGACAAGGGAUGCAGGUUUCAGUUCGAACGGAUGCCAACAUCUUCAUUACAUAAUUUCAUGAUUCAGUUAACCAUACAGAGGAAAUGGGGAAACAAGGCGGUUUCCAUCUGAGAUUUCUUGAGCGCAACACUACUAGGAACGGGCGGACUAACACAUCGGAAUCUGCAGGCGGCGACGAAGACUGACGACCAUCUGGCGGGGGCCAGCGGCCUAGCCGCCGAAGCCGUAGAGGGUGCGGCCCUGGCGCUUGAGGGCGUAGACGACGUCCAUGGCGGUGACGGUCUUGCGGCGGGCGUGCUCGGUGUAG